rnacentral:rRNA from 1 species
GCUAGGAUGAACGCUGGCGGCGUGCUUAACACAUGCAAGUCGAACGGAGCUAUCUGGAUAGAGGAUUCGUCCAAUUGAGAGGUAUGCUAGUGGCGGACGGGUGAGUAACGCGUGAGUAACCUGCCUAGGAGUGGGGGAAUAACAGUCCGAAAGGAUUGCUAAUACCGCAUGAUGCAGUUGGGUCGCAUGGCCCUGACUGCCAAAGAUUUAUCGCUCUUAGAUGGACUCGCGUCUGAUUAGCUAGUUGGCGGGGUAAUGGCCCACCAAGGCGACGAUCAGUAGCCGGACUGAGAGGUUGGCCGGCCACAUUGGGACUGAGACACGGCCCAGACUCCUACGGGAGGCAGCAGUGGGGAAUAUUGGGCAAUGGGCGCAAAGCCUGACCCAGCAACGCCGCGUGAAGGAAGAAGGCUUUCGGGUUGUAAACUUCUUUAUGAGGGACGAAAAAAUGACGGUACCUCAUGAAUAAGCCACGGCUAACUACGUGCCAGCAGCCGC